GACGAACGCUGGCGGCGUGCUUAACACAUGCAAGUCGAACGGAAAGGCCUCUUUCGGGGGGUACUCGAGUGGCGAACGGGUGAGUAACACGUGAGUAACCUGCCCUUGACUUUGGGAUAACUUCAGGAAACUGGGGCUAAUACCGGAUAGGAGCUCCUGCUGCAUGGUGGGGGUUGGAAAGUUUCGGCGGUUGGGGAUGGACUCGCGGCUUAUCAGCUUGUUGGUGGGGUAGUGGCUUACCAAGGCUUUGACGGGUAGCCGGCCUGAGAGGGUGACCGGCCACAUUGGGACUGAGAUACGGCCCAGACUCCUACGGGAGGCAGCAGUGGGGAAUAUUGCACAAUGGGCGGAAGCCUGAUGCAGCAACGCCGCGUGCGGGAUGACGGCCUUCGGGUUGUAUACCGCUUUCGCCUGUGACGAAGCGUGAGUGACGGUAAUGGGUAAAGAAGCACCGGCUAACUACGUG
rnacentral:rRNA from 1 species